rnacentral:rRNA from 1 species
GACGAACGCUGGCGGCGUGCUUAACACAUGCAAGUCGAACGGUGAAGCUCCAGCUUGCUGGAGUGGAUCAGUGGCGAACGGGUGAGUAACACGUGAGCAACCUGCCCCUGACUCUGGAAUAAGCGCUGGAAACGGCGUCUAAUACUGGAUACGAGAAGGGUCCGCAUGGGCACUUUCUGGAAAGUUUUUCGGUUGGGGAUGGGCUCGCGGCCUAUCAGCUUGUUGGUGAGGUAAUGGCUCACCAAGGCGACGACGGGUAGCCGGCCUGAGAGGGCGACCGGCCACACUGGGACUGAGACACGGCCCAGACUCCUACGGGAGGCAGCAGUGGGGAAUAUUGCACAAUGGGCGAAAGCCUGAUGCAGCGACGCCGCGUGAGGGAUGACGGCCUUCGGGUUGUAAACCUCUUUCAGCAGGGAAGAAGCGAAAGUGACGGUACCUACAGAAGAAGCACCGGCUAACUACGUG